rnacentral:rRNA from 1 species
UGGGGAAUAUUGCACAAUGGGCGCAAGCCUGAUGCAGCCAUGCCGCGUGUAUGAAGAAGGCCUUCGGGUUGUAAAGUACUUUCAGCGGGGAGGAAGGGAGUAAAGUUAAUACCUUUGCUCAUUGACGUUACCCGCAGAAGAAGCACCGGCUAACUCCGUGCCAGCAGCCGCGGUAAUACGGAGGGUGCAAGCGUUAAUCGGAAUUACUGGGCGUAAAGCGCACGCAGGCGGUUUGUUAAGUCAGAUGUGAAAUCCCCGGGCUCAACCUGGGAACUGCAUCUGAUACUGGCGAGCUUGAGUAUCGUAGAGGGGGGUAGAAUUCCAGGUGUAGCGGUGAAAUGCGUAGAGAUCUGGAGGAAUACCGGUGGCGAAGGCGGCCCCCUGGACGAAGACUGACGCUCAGGUGCGAAAGCGUGGGGAGCAAACAGG